UUUCAUAUCCAAUGUUCGAGCGAUUGUGUUGCCCAAGUCAACCUGAUGAAUCCUUUGUUAGGGUUUCGCUUGCGUCAUUUGAGAUUCUUCUUCUCCAAUCGAAAUACUUCCAUUUCAGAUUCAUCACAUUUAACCGCCACUUAACUCCAUCAACACAAUCUAGCCGUCGAUGUGAUCUUCUGUCUUACGAGGCGGUUUAUCUUUGAGUAUAAAAAGGUCAACUAUAGGAGGCCAACACGUACUCUAUGGAAAGGGAAGAUGGUGAUCGGAAAAGAUGCCCUUUUCGUGAUCAUGGGUCUUAAGAGACUGACAUAGGUGGCCAGAAAUUGAAAAGACUUAAGCAAACCACUGAUUAUUGCAUUCAAAAGAGUUUGAGGCGGGAGAAGAAGACUUGCUCCUUCUAUGAGACGCCUUCCACAAUGUACUCUGAGCUCUCCUUCAUACUAGUUGUUUUUAUCAUCUCAUCAUAUCAUAUUUAGUGGCAUCCAAAACGAGCAAGGAGGUGUUUUGAGAAGCGGCGGGAAGUGGUGGAGGCAGAGGCCAAGGUGGUGGCUACAGAGG